rnacentral:lncRNA from 1 species
UCCCUAUACCACAGUAUCAGAGACUGAGUAAGUUAUAGAUCAAAGAGGGCACAGGCUGACUUCUGGCAAUGGUCCUCUCACUCAGAGAAUCUCAAAGAUGUGCCAGGCUUCUGUGACCUGAGAUGAGUUGAAUCGCACAUGUCCUCUGGCCUCUUAUAAAGCCACCAGGGUUCAGUCCUGAGGUUCUGCCCUGUGGAAUGUAUUCAGUGCUAAUAACCUUUCAGAGGCUCCACUUUUGAAUGCCAUGGGCGGAUUAAAUUUCUGCCUUUAAAAAUUCCCCAUGUAUGGGGCUGUGUUGCCGAUAUGUACUGUGCGUACUACUUUUAUGCUUGGUACUCAGAGCCCAGGAAAGGACAUCAGAGCCUCUGAAACUAGUUACAGGUGUUUGUGAGCCACUAUGUGGGUACUGGGAAUUGAAUCCUCCUCUGGAAGAGAAGCCAGUGGUCUUAACUGCUGUGCCUUCCCUCCAGCCCUGGAUACCCACCUUUUUAAUACCCCACAAUAGAGAUUGCAUUUCAACUCUGUAACGGGGCUCCAAUGUUCUAAGUCAUCAGACACUUGGUCCACACCAUCUCCGAGUCCCACACCAGCCCCUUACUCCUGCUUACGUGUUCUGGAUCUGCACCCGGGCAUCUGACUUUCCCACCUGUCCAGGUGCUCUGCAGCUUCUGGAGCAGUACUCGCUCUCCUAGGUCA